UUAACUAAAAUUUGUAUGUAGUUGGAACAUUUGCCUACGUUUGCCGUUAGGGGCGCUGUUCCAACUGCAUACAAAUCCAAGUUA
rfam:Bombyx mori DNA, contig: Bm_scaf34_contig20808, strain: p50T/Dazao, build 2, whole genome shotgun sequence.